rnacentral:rRNA from 1 species
AACGAACGUUAGCGGCGCGCUUAACACAUGCAAGUCGAGCGAGAAAGGGGCAACCCCGGUAAAGCGGCGCACGGGUGAGUAACACGUAGGUAAUCUACCCCCAGGUGGUGGAUAACCUUCCGAAAGGAAGGCUAAUACAGCAUGGGACCACGGCUCCGAAAGGAGUUGAGGUGAAAGUCGGCCUCUUCACGAAAGCCGACGCCAGGGGAUGAGUCUGCGGCCCAUCAGCUAGUUGGUAGGGUAAUGGCCUACCAAGGCGAAGACGGGUAGCUGGUCUGAGAGGAUGAUCAGCCACACUGGAACUGAGACACGGUCCAGACUCCUACGGGAGGCAGCAGUGGGGAAUCUUGCGCAAUGGACGAAAGUCUGACGCAGCGACGCCGCG